rnacentral:lncRNA from 1 species
AGGUAAGUGGUAGCCAUGAAGUGGAGCUGGCUGAGCCCACAAGCCAUCCUAUGUGUGGUGUGGAAGGCAGAGCUGAGAAGUAGCAUUACCUAAGCUCUUUGGAGGCCAGAAUACAGUGAGUCAGAAACAUCAGACGUUCUUAUACAGGUCAAAGGUGCCUGCUUUGGACAACUGACAAUGGCCUAGCCCGCCUCAUGUCAAUCAGUAAUCAAGAGAAUGCCCCACAGACAUGCCAACAGACCAACCUGAUAGAUCUGACUCCUCAGCAGAGGUUCUGUUCUCCAAGAGCUGAUGACUGUCAGAAUAGCCACCAGGCUCCACAGGACCUUCAUCGCCAGCUUUGCUGACUGCUACACAACCAAGAAGAUUGGAGAUGAUUAAAGGAGCAGUUGUGGAGUUGAGCCUUGCCGAUUAUUGUGGAAGACUGGAGACUCAGACUGAUGGAGUGUUUCUAAAACUAGCAUUGUGCCUUCUAGAAAAAAAAUGUUUUAAAAGUUCAAUCACAGAGCUCAUUGUAGGAAAAAAAAAUGCUAUCUUACAAGAGCGUCAGGAAAGGCAGAACAAGGACUGGAUGCAAAGACGUUUUGAAGUUAAAAAGCAAGCAGACUCUCACAUCAUUUUAUGAAUGCAGAAAGCCAAGAAGAGCGGAUGUUGAGUGGUUGCCAGAGUGAAAUGAGCAAGCUCCGCUGCCAGCUUCCCACCAAAAGGGUUCCCAGCUCUGUGGUACCAGCCAAUGUCAACCUGCUAGACUCCACCUGAGGUGAUCUGCCUCCUUGUGUGGUUUGCAUAGCGCCAUAUGCUGCCCCGACUGAAUUUUUUACUCAGUGUGAAAUAAUUCCUGUUGACAGGAUAACCACAAUCACAGCAGUGCUCCUGGCAGAGCUGGGCACCCCCAAACCUGUAAAGGCCAGCAUUUCAUCGGACAGUACUUCUGGGAGUGCGCAAAGCUUGUGUUUGGAAUGAGGAUGAAGGACGGCCUGGAGACUCGUUGUCUCUCCAUCUCCCAGGGAUGUGCGGCCCAGUGACACUGAUCAGCUACUCUACUUUGUCUCCUGUUCAACUCCUGGCAUUUCAGCUGUGGACUACUGAGCCUCCAUUGCUUAGCUAUCCAUCUAGGCAGCAAACCUGAUUUCUGAUUGUUCCCUUGGUCCCAGAUGAAAAAAACAAAACAAGCAGAUAGAUGCAUUUCCAAGUCUUCAAGUCCCGUGUUCAAAG